UGUUGUUGAUAAUUGGGCUUAACGCCAUGUUUGGGGCCUCGUGCCGAUCUGUAGUACCCGUCUAGGAUGAAUAUCUUUGUGAUAACAUGAUUGCAUAAUCAUUGAUCUCAGUCCUUUGUUAUUCACUGUUAAUAAAUGCAAAGUCACCGUAUUUCUGAAAUUGACCAAUUAAACUGUAUCCACCUUAAUAAAUUGGAAACUGGCAAAGAAUCAGAUUGAAUCUGUAAUGUGACGUACAUGCAUACUGUGGACUGAGCAUGGAUCGGGCUACACGCCGUAGCGAUUAUAUGCAUUGGAUCGAGCUGCAGGCCGCAGCGGAUAUAUAUAUUGACAUUGCGCUUGGCUGAAGGAGCCCCUCCGGAGUCUGUACACACCCCCAGUGAGCGCCGUCGACGUUAAAUGGAUCGGGCUACACGUUCCGCAGCGAAUUCAGGUGCAUUGCAUUGCAUUUUUAUCUACUUGGUUGUUGUUUUGAUAUUGUUUAUGAUGUUAGCCUGUAGCUAAGUUAUAGGAUUGUUAGUUAUAGCUUUGCGUUGUGGUCUUCUGUGGAUUUCUUACUUUCAGUCAUUUUCUAUACUUAUUAUUCACUGAGUCGGUAGUACUCACCCCUACUCCCUGCACCUUGUGUGCAGAUUCAGGUACAAUGGAGGCUUAGCUGAUUCUCGUAGUCUCCAGAGAUAUUUUCAAAGUCGUUGAGGUAGCUGCAUGACGUUCGCAGGACCUGGUUGCUCUUCAUUAUUUCUCCAUUUGAUUAUUAUCAUAUACUUUCCCAGAUUUUGGUUUUAGUAUUCAGAUUCUAC
rnacentral:lncRNA from 1 species